rnacentral:tmRNA from 1 species
GGGGACGUAACGGUUUCGACGGGGACACGUGACGCCGGGUAAGCGAGCCGCAGGCGCCGGAACUGCGAUAAAAGCCGGCAAAAAAAUUAAACGACAAACACGAAGUCGCUCUCGCAGCGUAACGCUGCGACGUUUCGCCUGCCUCUCCCACCGGACAGGGCCGAAACGUCAUUAGGUGGGGCCCUGUCUUAGGGAAAGCUUUGACCCUCUGACAGUCAAUAUGAAGCUACCAAGCGCGGAACCCGGUGGACAGGGGCCCGCGUAAGGGAAAGUAAAGAGUCCAAUGCGCUCGGAGAAAGCCCGGAGGGACGGUUUUCGGACAGGGGUUCGCCUCCCCUCGUCUCCACCA